CAAGGCAUGAAGAGAAGACCUAUCAAUGUGCCUGGGAGCAACGCAACAACAUGGCAACAUAAGCAGCUUCCUGGUUAUAAAUAGAGACGCGAGAGAUGGAGAGCAGAAGGAUAAAGCAACCCAAAGGAGAAUUAAGCUAUGGAAGAAGGGACAAGAAACUAUAAUCCAAAUGAAAACAGUGGAAAGUUUCUAGGCACAAGAAUUUUGAUCAUCUUGGUGAAUGGUGAAGAGGCGCAGCUUGCAGAGUACUCCCUGCUACCAGAUGAAACAAAGAACAGUCAUAAGAGCCCAACAGAUGUUUUGUUAUUGACAAACUGGCAGCUAUUGAGAAGAUAAAUAGUAAAAACUGACCUUAUCUCACAAUGCAAAAGAAAAUAAAGAC